rnacentral:tRNA from 1 species
GGUCGGUUAGCUCAGUUGGUAGAGCGUCGUGCUGAUAACGCGAAGGUCGUGGGUUCAAGCCCCAUAUCGACCA